rnacentral:rRNA from 1 species
AUUGAACGCUGGCGGCAGGCCUAACACAUGCAAGUCGAGCGGAUGAAGGGAGCUUGCUCCUGGAUUCAGCGGCGGACGGGUGAGUAAUGCCUAGGAAUCUGCCUGGUAGUGGGGGAUAACGUCCGGAAACGGGCGCUAAUACCGCAUACGUCCUGAGGGAGAAAGUGGGGGAUCUUCGGACCUCACGCUAUCAGAUGAGCCUAGGUCGGAUUAGCUAGUUGGUGGGGUAAAGGCCUACCAAGACGACGAUCCGUAACUGGUCUGAGAGGAUGAUCAGUCACACUGGAACUGAGACACGGUCCAUACUCCUACGGGAGGCAGCAGUGGGGAAUAUUGGACAAAGGGCGAAAGCCUGAUCCAGCCAUGCCGCGUGUGUGAAGAAGGUCUUCGGAUUGUAAAGCACUUUAAGUUGGGAGGAAGGGCAGUAAGUUAAUACCUUGCUGUUUUGACGUUACCAACAGAAUAAGCACCGGCUAACUUCGUG